rnacentral:lncRNA from 1 species
AUGACUUUGGGAAAAUUCGGCCAAAUCCAAAGGGUGGAUUUUUGGGUUCUUGUUUGACUUGUUAAAAGUGUUUUCAAGUGACUUUUGGAACCCCUAUGUACCCUAGUUUGGUUAGAUGUUAUUUCCCUAAAGUUUGAAUGGUUUUGGAAUGUUUUUGGGUGGAAAAAGUUCAUGGAAAAUUUUUGGGUUUUUCAUGAAUGUUCUUCAUUGUUCUUGACAUUUUAGCCAAGAACAAAAGGGUUUGUGUUUUGAUUCAAAGUUUUGAUUUAUUUCAUAAAGUUUAUGUUUUAUGUUUUUCAAAUGUUUAAAUGUUUUAGAUAUUUGUUUAAAUGGCAAUAGAAAUAAUGGUGGGUGUGAAAGGAUUAAAACCCUUUCACACACACCACUUGUGCACUUGCAUGCUUUAUGUCAAACUACAAAUCAACACACACAUCACUCCAUUUCUUCUUCCAAAACCGGCCCUCCCUCAAGUGGGAGUACUUUUGGGGCCUUUUAUGCAAUUACAUAAAGUUUUGAUACUUUUGUGUAUUUGCACUUUGGCCCAAAAGUUUACGUUUUUACGUUUAGGUCCAAAAACGCUAAAGGACAAAUUGUUUUGCUCCUUUAAUGAAGUUUUUACAUUGAUUAAAUUUUGGGUUCUAUUGUAAUUACAUGAAGUGGUGGACUUUUGUGUCUUUACAAAGUGACCCCAAAAGUUUUGCAAUAUAGCCCAAAAAUUGAGGUUAAUUGCAAGAUAGCCCAAAUGUUGUGGUUAUUGCUUUAUGGCCCAAAUUAGGUAGAGAACAA